GGUGACGCAGAAACACGUGGAAUCGCGCAUUCUUCGGUCGAAAAACGGACACGUAUGCUAAGUGUAAACGCGUAUUCAAGACGAAAAAGUUGGGAACACCAGAGUCGACUGCAUUCGAAAGCAUAUGCCUUAUUUCACGUUGAAAUGCCACUAUUAUCCGAAAGUGUUCAACUUGCGCACGGACCUGAGGAAACACGAGCGCAUCUACACGACCAGGUUAUCGCGAGAACUGCAAGAGGACGUUCUGCAGUGAAUACUCGCAUUUAUUGCACAAAGUUCUCGACAUGUCGAAGACGUAUCCGGAGAAGCCGAAGAGGAAGUACACGAAGACGAAGAAGCUCGCUGCGACGACUUACUAGAAGCGGGAGUUCCUGCGUAACAUUUCUUUCCUUACCUUUUCAUGACUUUGUGACGUUACUAAAUGCAUUUGUGUUUCAUUGAAUUCUUUCUUGUAUCGUUUUCUGUGAGUUAAGACGAAAUUUGUUGUCUGUUUUUUUUAUUUUGUGGGUAACGUUUGAAUGAAAAUGUUUCAAUGAUGAUGAUCACUGAUGUACAUGUUCGUUUAUUUUGUGUAUGCCUUGCAUUUGAGUAUUCUUGGCUGGAAAAGUAACGAGGAUUAACGAAUAUGUGAUUAGUACUUUAUGCUCAGGUAGUACUGUGAAUAUUGAUGAAUUCUUUUACGUGAUGUCAAAUUUGAGACGUUCUGGAUUAUGUUUUUUAGUAGAGUUCUCUGUGUGUUAUAUGAACGAUUGAAGGAAUUGGAUUGAAUAACUUGAUCGAAUUGAAAUAUUAUUUUGUCUUCGUGCGAAGUUAAUAAUUUUGUACGACGUUUCUAUUUAUUUGUGUUACGUGCGAAAUAUUCUUGGGAAUGUUGUGUCUGGAAUGUAUUAUUUAUUCGACCUCGAAUGAAAUGUCUAGUUUCAGAGUAUUAGUAUUUAAGUACAAAGUGAUAUUUAAUAGGAAUGAAAUAUGGCGUUUGAUAGUUUUUUAAUGAAAUUUUUUGUACAAGAGAAAAUAAACUAUGUUUCAUUGAUCCUACAAGGGAUGAUUGUUACCUCCGACGUUACACGAAGUGUUGAUUUUGUGCCAUGAGUGUUUCAUUGUCAGUUCUCGCAAGUUCUUGCUGUGACGUUAUACAUCAAUGUAAGUAUUACUACCUGACAUGGAACGAUACGCCAGAAAUGUAUAUUAUUCUUCGGUUUUCCAGGUCGACGUUCUCCAAGUUGCCACUUUUGCGUCUUAUCGUAAACACUGAACAUGUUGCAGACAACGAAGAAGAGGAAGAUGAGACGAAGAGUUCUAGUCAAAACAUCGGCGACCCUGCCGGGUUCAUUGUCAAGAAAAUCGAAAAAUAACACUAUAAAGAGAUCGAGAGAGAAAUUGGAGCAAAAAGAGAACAAGAACUACGAAGAGACGGUGAAGCUCGAGAAAGUCUAUUGCGAUCUCUGUAAAACUACGGUCUUCGAGCGAAAUUACAAGAAACAUUUGUUACGACAUAGUUUCAAGGAUCACCAGUGCGAUGUAUGCUCCAAGAAGUAUAAGCACAAAAGAGCAUUAACAAAACAUAAGCUGACUAUACAUGGAAACGCGCCUGUACACAAUUGUCAAUAUUGUGACUUCACGACGGUGCACUUUUCCUACCUGCAGGUGCACGUGAUGCGCAAGCACAACAACACGUUUCCCUUCUCCUGCGACAAGUGCGACCGGAAAUUUCGCAUCAGAGCUGACUACAUGAAGCACAUAGUGACCCACGACGGUGAGCCAUGCAUCUGCGACGUGUGUGGCGCGAAGGUGCCGAACAAGAUAUCCCUCUAUUUCCACAAGAACUACAACCACACGGUGAAAGACGCGAAGUUCCCUUGUCCGAUGUGCAAGAAGAAGCUGCAGAGCCAGAAGAACCUGGACAGCCACAUACAGCAGCACGGACGGAAGUUCAUCUGCGAGGAGUGUGGGCUAGGCCUGACCCGGAAAUCCGGCCUAAGGAAACACAUCAGGACGCAUUCGGGCGAGAAAUCGUUCUCCUGCAACAUCUGCCAGAAAUCGUUCGCCAGCGCAACCAGCAGGAAAGUGCAUCUUCUGACGCAUUCGGGCGUCAGGCCGUACGUCUGUACCAUUUGCGGGCAGAGUUUCACUCAGCGACCAGCUCUUUGUGUCCACUGGAAGAAGAAACACCCUGACGCCACUGAGUCGCUGCCGUCUGUGUCUAUAACGAACAUUAUUCAUAGUGUAACGAAAAAUUUCAAGUUGGACGAUGCGUGAAAAAUAACGCUGGACACUUGGACACUUCGAUGGGAAGAGAUAUAAAUUGUUGACUGGAGCUGCAGCGCUUCUCGAGUUGAAAGAUCGCUGUACGGUGACCCUUGAUUGUGUAAGACUCGAUGACUUUAAGUGGUUUAACAUGAAUUAAUUUAUGAAAGCAUUUGUGCGCAUGAAAUAAUAUUUUUACGAAUUCGUUGAAUUUUCAUGCGGUCCUCGGCACUGCUAAUUACUGAGAGAUUGUAUUUAUGAUAAUUAUGUUGCUGGUAAGAGAAAAAUUCAUGCAUCUGUGGAUACUAACAGAGUGCGUUAAUCCAUGACUCGUUGUGUAUGUAUAUUGUGGAGGAGGGAAGAAUAGACUUUCAUUUAAUGAAAGAGUUAUUGUGAUUAUUGUAAGAAUAUAUGGAGAUUUUUAUUCAGUGAAGAAAAGAAAAGCACUCGUUGUUCAAUACAUUGUUGACUUGAGUUUACUUGAGAUUGUGAAGCCAUGUUGAUUAUUUUCUGCAUUUAAACGUUUUCAUUUUCAAAUCCCUUGUAUGAGCAUUAUCGAUGAAUUCGCCGACAUGUUUAUUUGUGUGUAUUACCGAAAGAAAUACUUCUUCUGGUGUUCCUUAAGGAUUUUAUUCAGAACCUCUAACCAGUUACUUGUGACGAAAUCAGCGCAGCAUUUAAAUCAGAGGAAUAACCAUACCGCUGACAAGCAAGUUAAAGAAACUAAAAUUCCACGCAAGACACCGAACAUUCAUCAAAGGAGACUAGCAUUCCGAAUCUCAAAGAAACGGAAACGCAGUGGCAACAAC